GUGCUUGCAUCAGCAGCACAUAUACUAAAAUUGGAACGAUAUAGAGAUUAGCAUGGCCCCUGCACAUGUAUGACAUGCAAAUUUGUGAAGUAUUCCAUAUUUUC
ensembl:snRNA U6 U6 spliceosomal RNA